rnacentral:lncRNA from 1 species
GCUGAGUACUUACAGUAAGCCUCAUGUACUGAACAAGCCACAAGGUCAGAAGACAACAACAACAAUAACAACUAUGUAGUGCUAUCUUUUAUACUUUCUGGCUGGAGAAGAGACUAAAAGAUAGAAGUUUAUUGACUACACUGCAAGGGAGCUGCUGUCAGGACAGCAAGG